UACGGGGGGAGCAAGCGUUGUUCGGAUUUACUGGGCGUAAAGGGCGCGUAGGCGGCCACCGCAAGUCGACUGUGAAAUCUCCGGGCUUAACCCGGAGCGGCCAAGUGAUACUGUCGUGCUAGAGUGCGGAAGGGGCUACUGGAAUUCUCGGUGUAGCGGUGAAAUGCGUAGAUAUCGAGAGGAGCACCUGCGGCGAAGGCGGGUAGCUGGGCCGACACUGACGCUGAUGCGCGAAAGCCAGGGGAGCGAACGGG
rnacentral:rRNA from 1 species